GUGCUCACUUUGGCAGCACAUACACUAAAACUGGAAUGAUACAGAGAAGAUUAGCAUGGCCCCUGUGCAAGGAUGACAUGCAAAUUAAAAAAAUUUUUUUUGUUUAA
ensembl:snRNA U6 U6 spliceosomal RNA